CAGAGACUGCAAGCGUUAUUCGGAUUCACUGGGCGUAAAGGGUGCGCAGGCGGUCGUGUGUGUCAGAUGUGAAAUCCCGGAGCUUAACUCCGGAACUGCGUCUGAAACUACAUGACUAGAGCAUUGGAGAGGGAAGUGGAAUUCAUGGUGUAGCAGUGAAAUGCGUAGAUAUCAUGAGGAACACCAGAGGCGAAGGCGACUUCCUGGACAAUUGCUGACGCUCAGGCACGAAAGCAUGGGGAGCAAAAGGGAUUAGAUACCCCUGUAGUCCAUGCCCUAAACGGUGCACACUAGGUCUUGGAGGAUUCGACCCCUUCAGGGCCCAAGCUAACGCGUUAAGUGUGCCGCCUGAGGACUACGGUCGCAAGACUA
rnacentral:rRNA from 1 species